rnacentral:rRNA from 1 species
CCUACGGGAGGCAGCAGUGGGGAAUAUUGCACAAUGGGGGAAACCCUGAUGCAGCGACGCCGCGUGAGUGAAGAAGUAAUUCGUUAUGUAAAGCUCUAUCAGCAGGGAAGAAAAUGACGGUACCUGAGUAAGAAGCCCCGGCUAACUACGUGCCAGCAGCCGCGGUAAUACGUAGGGGGCAAGCGUGAUCCGGAUUGACUGGGUGUAAAGGGAGCGUAGACGGCAGUGCAAGUCUGGAGUGAAAGGCGGGGGCUCAACCCCCGGACUGCUCUGGAAACUGUACGGCUGGAGUGCAGGAGAGGUAAGUGGAAUUCCUAGUGUAGCGGUGGAAUGCGUAGAUAUUAGGAGGAACACCAGUGGCGAAGGCGGCUUACUGGACUGUAACUGACGUUGAGGCUCGAAAGCGUGGGGAGCAAACAGGAUUAGAUACCCGAGUAGUC